rnacentral:rRNA from 1 species
AUGGCCGAGCUCGCGAGCGCCGUGAGCACGUUGCUGGGUGUAAUCAGCCACGAGGCGCAGAGGCUCGGCCGCGUCCGACGCGACGUGCAGUUCAUCCAGGAGGAGAUCGAGAGCAUGAGCAGCUUCCUGGCCGACCUGUCUAGGAUGAGCCGCGAGCAUGAUGAGCGGGUCCGCACCUGGAUGAACCAGGUCCGGAUCCUCGCCGACGACUGCAAGAAACAUAUCGACCUCUACCUCUACCGCGGCGACCCCAGAUUCCACCUACCCAGGGGAGGCCCCCGCCGCUACCUCUUGUGGGCUCCCUGGCUGCUGCGCAAGCUGCUUGCACAGCACCGUGCAGCAGGCCAGCUAAGGGAGCUCAAAGACCGGGCCCAGGACAUUGGCAACCGCCGAUUGAGGUAUGGCGUCGAGAUCAAAAUGUUAGAGUCAUCAACAUCUUCCAGGGAUGUGCUCGCUGAGCCAUUGUUGUUGCCGGGCACACACAACCGUGAAGAAGAAGAACAUGACAAUAACCAAGAUGGGGACGGUCGACUCAAGGUGGCUUUGUCCAUGACUAGUAUGAAAAUGGACAAGGAAGACUACAUUAGGAGGAAGCUAGAUCACUGGAUCGGAUCAGUGAUGCAGGCAGGGGCAGCGGAGAAAGACAUAGAAUUGAGGGCGGCGGGAUCAACAAAAACAUUACCAUCCAUCGCCUUUGUGGUAACAGAGACCGAGGACGCCGAUGCUCUUGGGCGUGAAACCCUCUCUGUGGCGAAAACCCAUUUCAAGUGGGCAGAGAAAGCCCAUGCCCUUGCGCAUGAAGACAAGGCUGUGCCACCGGAGACCAAGGAUGCCUACCCUCUUGCGCACGAAGAUAAGGCUGUGCCACCGGAGGCCAAGGAUGCGAACGCUCUUGCGCAUGAAGAGAAGGCAAUGCCGCCUGAGAUAAAGGACACCGGUGCCCCUGCGGAUGAAGAUAAGACAAUGCCGCUGGAGACCAAGGACACCGACACCCUUGCACUCGACGAUAAGCCCAUGCCACCGGAGGGCAAGGACGCCGGUGUUACUCUUGCACACCAAACUCCAUCUGUCCUCUUGGUCGACGUCUCUGGGAUGCACUACGAUUUUGUACCGCUACAACCUCUGAAGAUUCUAUGCUACAUCCUUCAUGAGCUCAACCAGCAGCAAGGCAUAGGUCCUCCUACUAACAGAACAAGACGAGGUGUUUACAGGUACACAAAUGCCAUGAUUGGUGAAAUCAAGCGCAAGAUACAUGAAAUGGAUGUCGACUACACGAUUAAUGACAUUCAAAUCAACAAUCCUGAAGAUGGUGCACGAUGGUUACAGUACCUGGAACAAUUGCACGAGGGAGGAGAGGAUUUGGAAAAAUAUAUCGCCUCCUAUGUGCCAUUGAAGGGACUACUCUGGUUGCUCAUCUACUACUCAAUUACUUCUGCAGCUGAUAUAAAAGACAAACAGAACAAAGCCAUGGUAGCAGAAUCGUACCAUGCCAUCAUCAAGCAAACAGCCAAGAAGCUUAAAAGGGAAAUAGAAGCAGGCGGCUCAAACUCAAAGCAGCUGGAGGAUCGCGAAUAUGAAGACAUCUUGUGGAGGGUGUUUCCAAGGGCAACCAGCACCACCGCCGCUACCAAUAUUAGUCCUGGCACAUUGGUCAUGACAGGUGAACCAGAUCCUCAAACCCAGGAAGCUGAUUUUCUCGAAACCACAAAGAUGAAGAAGGAAGAAAUCGGAACGGAUAUUAAAAAGCAGCUCAAGAUAAAAAUGAUUGUGCAGAUGAUUCAAGAAUGUUUGAGAGGUGAUGAAAGGAUCCUGGUCAUCCUCAAAGUUCAUGACAAGUAUGUACCCAAAUGGGAGGAGACCAGAAAAACUUUGAGCCUGUUGAGGUGUCCCAUCCCCAUCGCUGGUGCUGUGAUUGUGGCAACAAAAACCACUGAACAGUAUGAGCAAUAUUUUCGUUGUCCAGAGCUAGAGCAUAUAGAAUAUUCUCUUGUUGGCCUCUACCUUGAUAUGGUGCUCCAGCUAACAAGCCAGCAUAUGAAUGAUCAACACAGCCGCCAGGUUCUUCACGACAUCUUGUGUGAGUGCGAGCCACAUGAAUUCUGCAUGAAGAUCUUUGCUCAUGCAUUGUACGCCAAACCAAAGAGGAGCAGUGAAGAGCUGAACAAGUUGCACAACGCCUUGCGUGUCAGUGCCACACAAAAAUCAUUGCCCAGUAUGAUGUUCAAGUUCUCAUGCAGGGAUCUGCCUAAAGAGUACAUGUCUUGUUUGUUGUACCUCGCUAUCUUCCCUCAGGGACAAACCAUCAAGCGGUCAACCUUGAUAGGACGAUGGGUUGCAGAGAGGCUGAUAACCACCAAAGAAUGGCGCUGGUCCUCUUCAGUGGAUGAAGCCGAGAAAUGUUUUGAUACGCUCGUCGCCCGGUGCUUUGUUUGUCCUGCUGGCAUUGGUGCUACUGGAAAAGUCAAGAGCUGCACAGUGCAUAAGCUAGUUUAUGGAUUCAUUACUAAGAUUGCCAUGCAGCAUCGCAUUCUGGAGACACAGCUGUCACGUCACUUGGCUCGUCACUUCUCCAUAUUCAGCGAUGUCCGCCUCCGCAGCUCUGAAACAAUAGAGAAUUUCUUUCAAAAGUCAUCUCAAUUCUACAAGCUCAAGGUGCUAGAUCUAGAGGGCUAUGAAGGCUUCCCAUGGAACGAACACUACCUAAGUGACAUAUGCAGGAAGAUACUAAUGCUCAAGUAUCUCAGCCUAAGGGGAACGGGCGUUACCAGGCUGCCCAGUGAAAUCAACAAUCUUCUUGAGCUGGAGGUAUUGGAUAUCCGGGAGACCAACAUUCCUGCAUCUGCAACAAGAAAUGUCCUGCUCCAAAAGUUGAAACGUCUGUUGGCUGGCCAUGUUGAUUCAAGUCCUGCCAACUUUUCCAGUGUCCAGAUCCCUGAGAAGAUUUUUAAAAUGGAGGGUGUGGAGGUACUGUCCAAUGUCAAGCCGAAGAAUCGUCGGGACUUGAGAGACAUUGGAGUUCUGAAUGAGCUGAAGAAGCUCGGUGUGGCUAUCAACGAGAGUGACCUCGAGCCGUUGCUUAAUACAAUCAGUGACCUCCUACACCAGUCCCUCCGUUUUCUGUCAAUUACUCUUGACAUAACUAUAUACAAGGACCCUCCAUCAAAGCUGAGACUGGAACAAAACUUCCCCGAUGUUCUUGAAAGACUAAGUAUAAAUGAAAGCACUAGCACACAAAAAGGGCAGCUUUUUAAGAUAUUGGUAGGAAAUGGAAAUCAUUCAAAUCAACUUGCUAAGGUAACUCUGACUGGUACUUUCCUGAGCCGGGAAGAUCUGAAGAUUCUUGCCAAGCUUGAGAACUUACAGUGUGUCAAGCUUCGACACAAUAAGUACGAUGAGAGCAAGCUCACUUUCAACAAGGGUGAAUUCAAAAAUCUCAUUAGUUUUCUUGUUGAGGGAAAAAACAUGACUGAAAUCAUUUUUGAUAAGGGAGCUGCUAGGAACCUGGUGAAGAUCGUUUUGUCCUCCACCAACAUGGUCUCUAUCAGUGGAGUCGGCUGGCUUAAAAAAUUGGAGGAGCUCGAACUGAACAACAUCGAGGACAAGUACAUGUUGCAUUCUUUGCUUGUCAAUGCCAAACACAUAACCAGGUUAACUCUUCGUGAUACAUUGCUGGAACAAGGUGAUCUGAAAAUCCUCGCCUGCGAACGAAAGAUAUGCUACCUAGCGCUCUUGGGGAAGUUUUGUAAUGGCAAUCACCUUGUCUUCAAGGAAUGUGACUUCCAUAAGCUCAACAUUCUUAUUGUUGACUCUGAUGACAUCACCGAGAUAAGCUUCACCAACAGCUGUCCUAAUCUUGAGAAGAUGGUCUGGUCAUUCAGAAAAAUUGUUUCUCUGUCCGGAAUUGACAAACUUCCUGCAUUAGAGGAGCUGGAGUUGAAGGGUGACAGUGUCCCUAAUAAGGUGGAAGAAGACAUUAAAAAACUAGAGAGUAGGCUUGACUACAAACACAGGGAUAAGCCAAAAAUAAGAAGAGAAUAA